rnacentral:rRNA from 1 species
UCGCAUUGGUCUCAAACCAAUGACAUGCAUUUCGAAGACCAUGAGUUCGAGGUGGACGAGGAGGGUGAGGGCAUUGUCGACGCGCCGAAAGGAAGAGCGGGCAAUUACACCAACGCCGAUGACAUCUUACUAUGCAAUACUUGGUUGCAAGUGUCGAGGGAUCCAUCCGUUGGAGGUGAUCAAAGUAGAGAUGCUUAUUGGGGGCGAAUGAAAGAACACUAUGAUGUUCACAACGUGAGUGGAAUUAACCGCUCCGAGAGAUCACUUCGGUCCCGGUGGUCGACAAUCAACUCGGAUUGUCAAAGGUGGGCGGCCUGUCAAAAGGCGGUAGACAAG